rnacentral:rRNA from 1 species
GAGUAUGUGGCUUAUUUGACUCAACGCGGAAAAGCUUAUCUGGUCCGGACGCAGUGAGGAUUGACAGACAGUUUCAGGAGUGGUUCUUGGUAAACAAUUGAGAGAGUUGAAGUUCUUUCAUGAUCUUGUGAGAGGUGGUGCAUGGCCGUUCUUAGUUCGUGUAGUGAUAUGUCUGCCUAAUCGCGUCACGAUAACCUAUUGGUCGACAACCCAAUUAUCACAACUGCAGCAUAACUCCCCUUGGGUGGGCGAGGCUCUGUGUAGGAUAGACCUCUGAACAGUACGCAACGAACGCGAUCGUAAUCCCUUGUUGAGUGGCCAUCCUGUAAGCUGCUGGAUUAGGAACCCAGUGGUAUUAUCUCAGCCACAGAUUUUCUGGUUGUAAUGGGCCAGUUUUGAAACUCGGGGAACAUCUGUGACUUUCUUUCUUAACGCAGAGGAAGGUUAUGGCAAUAACAGG